rnacentral:lncRNA from 10 species
GUGUGAAGAGGCUGACAGCGGCGUGGCCACCACCCAGGAUGGAGAGAAAGGCACUGUGAGGUGUUAAUGGAAAAAUCCAACUUCCUUUUCUUCCAAAGAUGAUGACUGAAACCAAAGUGGAGCUUUCCCUGCCUUCAGACUCAGACUGGAACUGCACCGUUGGCUCUCCUGGGUGGGUCUCCAGCUUGCUGACCACAGACCUUGAGACUUCUCAGCCUUUAGAAUCAUGGAAGCCAAUUCCUUAUAAUAAUAUAUAUCCUUUUCCUAGUCUGUGGACUUUUCCCAGCUCCAGACAGACAACCUUCUAUAAACUCCAGGAUGCUCCAUCAAUGCCGUCUGGACUCUACAGAUUUUGACCCUGAAGUAAAGUAGGAAAGGCUAUGAGGACAUGUUAAAUGUUGUACUACCGCCUGAAGCCUUUUCUUCUUUAAAUUUUUCAACAAGAGUUGAAUGCACACGUGGAGCUUAAUUGGACAACAACUUUUCUCCUCUUCUGUGGGAUCCCGUCAGUGCUUUAAGCAAUGAGAAGGCAGCUCAUUUCCAAGUUUGUGUGGUAAAUUUGGGGCAAGUGGGAGAAAAGAAAGAAAGGCUGAGUCUUAUAGGGUGUGAUUUGGUUCUAGACAUGCUUAUGUUACUUUUUAUAAGAUUAUCCAUUUGACUAGAUUUCUUUCCUGCUGACAAAAGAGGCAAUUUCUACAUAUAAAAUAAAUCUGAUUAAAACUC